rnacentral:rRNA from 1 species
UACGUAGGGUGCGAGCGUUGUCCGGAAUUAUUGGGCGUAAAGAGCUUGUAGGCGGUUUGUCGCGUCUGCCGUGAAAAUCCGGGGCUCAACCCCGGACUUGCGGUGGGUACGGGCAGACUAGAGUGUGGUAGGGGAGACUGGAAUUCCUGGUGUAGCGGUGAAAUGCGCAGAUAUCAGGAGGAGCACCGAUGGCGAAGGCAGGUCUCUGGGCCACUACUGACGCUGAGAAGCGAAAGCGUGGGGAGCGAACAGG